AUCGCUUCUCGGCCUUUUGGCUAAGAUCAAGUGUAGUAUCUGUUCUUAUCAGUUUAAUAUCUGAUACGUCCCCUAUCUGGGGGCCAUAUAUUAAAUUGAUUUUUGGAAUAGGGAGAUGGAAUAGGGGCUUGCUCCGUCCACUCCACGCAUCGACCUGGUAUUGCAGUACCUCCAGGAACGGUGCACCCCCU
rnacentral:snRNA from 1 species